AUGAUAUUGAUUAUCUAUCGUACCGGUAUUGAAUAUGCUUUGUUGGAUUAGGCACUGAAUUUAUGCUGUAGACUUAUUUGGACUGGAAUAAGCCCAAGGCUUGAUUAGUAAAGCUAAUUGUGUUGUAAUACUGUAGGACACGUUGACCAUUUUAGAAAGUACUGAAAUUGUGUUAUUGGGAGAUCUCUUCGGAUUGGAGUUAAGAUCAGGAAAGAGUUAGAAAAUGAAAUUCUGACAAUGCAGUUCUUAAUUACAAGAUAUUUGUUGAUGAAUAUUUGUCAACUUCAUAGUAAAUUAUUAAACUUGUGAUAGAUCCGUGAAAAAUUGUAAUAAUGGUUGGAUAUAGUAUUCCAAUUAUACAUGCUUGCUUCCCAUACGAAAUUUUAAAGGCUUGUCCUUUAUACAAAUUGUAGUUUAAAUGUUUAAUUAUAGUUCUUGGGCUUAAAAUC
rnacentral:lncRNA from 1 species